rnacentral:lncRNA from 1 species
CGGAGGCCCCGCCAGAGGCAGAGCGGCGUGGAGGCGUUCCAGGUGGCUAGCUGCGCGUUGCCGGCGGCGGCAUUGCCCUGCAGCGCCGGCUUCAGCUUGUCGACGACGAGCGCGACGUCUCCCGCGGCCCCGGCGACGGACAGCGGGGUGCAGAGCAGGAAGAAGCCGGCGACGAGGAGGUACGAGUAGCUUGGUAGCGCGCGCAUCUUGUGUGGAGCACUGUGCAGGGGGGGUCUAUGGCUUGGCUAGCUGAAUCUGAAUGGAGCUGGAGUGGGCAAGUGAAGUGAAGUAGAGCAAGAAAGAAAGAAGAAAGCGAGGCAGGGCAGCUUGGUCGGUCGUCUCGUCUCAGUCUCGUCUCGUCCUUGUGAAUGUUCUCUCUUUAGACGGCUAGCUUUCCACGCACACCACGCCAGCGGCUGCUAGUGGCGACGCGAGCGGGCCUGCUGCAUGCUGCAUGCUGACUGACGCGCGCACAAUUUCUUUCAUUUUGAUUUUCGAGGAUGGGAACGGA